AGCUGGCUCGUGCUGGUUGGGAUGACUCUGCGAUCCA
rnacentral:ribozyme from 1 species